rnacentral:rRNA from 1 species
AACGAACGCUGGCGGCAUGCCUAACACAUGCAAGUCGAACGAGACCUUCGGGUCUAGUGGCGCACGGGUGCGUAACGCGUGGGAACCUGCCCUUAGGUUCGGAAUAACUCCCCGAAAGGGGUGCUAAUACCGGAUAAUGUCUUCGGACCAAAGAUUUAUCGCCUUUGGAUGGGCCCGCGUUGGAUUAGCUAGUUGGUAGGGUAAAAGCCUACCAAGGCGACGAUCCAUAGCUGGUCUGAGAGGAUGAUCAGCCACACUGGGACUGAGACACGGCCCAGACUCCUACGGGAAGCAGCAGUGGGGAAUAGUGGACAAUGGGCGAAAGGCUGAUCCAGCAAUGCCGCGUGAGUGAUGAAGGCCGUAGGGUUGUAAAGCUCUUUUACCCGGGAUGAUAAUGACAGUACCGGGAGAAUAAGCUCCGGCUAACUCCGUG